rnacentral:rRNA from 1 species
UAAUACGGAGGUGGCAAGCGUUGUUCGGAUUUAUUGGGUGUAAAGGGUAUGUAGGUGUCCUGUUAAGUCCUUUUUGAAAUACUUUGGCUCAACCAAAGAUCUGGGAAGGAAACUGACAGGAUUGAGUACAGGAGAGGAGAGUGGAAUUCCCGGUGUAAGGGUGAAAUCUGUAGAUAUCGGGAGGAACACCCGUGGCGAAAGCGGCUCUCUGGCCUGAUACUGACACUGAAAUACGAAAGCUAGGGGAGCAAACAGGAUUAGAUACCCUGGUAGUCCUAGCUGUAAACGAUGGGCACUAGGUGUAUUCCGUUUUACGGAGUGUGCCGCAGUUAACACAUUAAGUGCCCCACCUGGGGAGUACGACCGCAAGGUUG